rnacentral:rRNA from 1 species
AGUGAACGCUGGCGGUAGGCCUAACACAUGCAAGUCGAACGGCAGCACAGUAAGAGCUUGCUCUUACGGGUGGCGAGUGGCGGACGGGUGAGGAAUACAUCGGAAUCUACUUUUUCGUGGGGGAUAACGUAGGGAAACUUACGCUAAUACCGCAUACGACCUACGGGUGAAAGCAGGGGAUCUUCGGACCUUGCGCGAUUGAAUUAGCCGAUGUCGGAUUAGCUAGUUGGCGGGGUAAAGGCCCACCAAGGCGACGAUCCGUAGCUGGCCUGAGAGGAUGAUCGGCCACACUGGAACUGAGACACGGUCCAGACUCCUACGGGAGGCAGCAGUGGGGAAUAUUGGACAAUGGGCGCAAGCCUGAUCCAGCCAUACCGCGUGGGUGAAGAAGGCCUUCGGGUUGUAAAGCCCUUUUGUUGGGAAAGAAAAGCAGCAGGUUAAUCCCCCGCUGUUCUGACGGUACCCAAAGAAUAAGCACCGGCUAACUUCGUG